GUUGACCUUGUGUGAACUCUGUUUAUCAAUCACUGGUUAAAACUUGUCAAACCUUUUUUAAGUAAAUGAAAUUUUACCCUGUGAAGAGUUUUCAAAUUUGGAGCCACUGUUCAAUCUUACUAAGUUAUUGUGCUAAUUUGUAUUCGAACAUCCGGACAGACUUCCUCUGAACGGAGUUUGCCAAAAGUUUGAUAGAAAUCCACAAAAGGUUAAUGGUGCUAUUUAGAAUUUACCGUGAAUCCUUACCUUUCAAGUCCUGCUUAUUUAACGUGUAGACCUGAGAUCUUCAUGUGACGUGAUCGCCAUGGGAAUCUUUGGCUUGCCACCUUGAUGGAAUCGUUUGGGUGAUAGGUUUAUGUUGUGAGACAAUUGAGGAAAUAAAACAAGGGGGAAAAGGACCUACUGUUUUUGAUUUGUGGAAGCCGAUUGAGUGAAUUAAAGUGCCUUCCGCAGUGGUAUGCCGUUGCUCAGGAUGAAAUAUAGCAGGCCAGAAGAAAUGAUUUUUUAAUUAGUGUUCUAUCCAAGACAGGAAGACAAAUCCGGCUUUAAACUGUUG